GAAUGGUCGAAUAACGAAUCAAAUCCUUAACAGAAGCUAACCCUUUGUCUCGCCAUUAAAGCUCUCUAAAUCCUAACCAGAUUAAACUGGUUGGGCUGGUGUUGUUUCAUUAAACAAAUCGAAAGUUAAUAAGAAAAAGGAAAAAAAACCCAAACACCCCGAAAAUUUGCGAUAUAUAGCUAUUAUAUUCAUUCAGAGCGCCCCUCCCCCCAUCCCUUACAUAUAUUUUUUUGGUCGGCGUUUUUGAAGUUGAUAAUCGUGGCCGGAAAUAGACAAUAAGCUUCUGUUUUUGGUCCAUUUAUUGGGAACAAGAUACGAGAAAAAGAAGCUUAUUGUUUUGUUUUGAUUUUUUGGUUUCAUUCAUUACUUUUUUUUUUUCUUUUGGGGGUAAGGGGGGAGGGUUCCAUUGAUAAUAGAUAAAGAAAUUUAGACAUGACAAGAAAAAUGGUUGACGCCUCAUUUUUAUCUUCAUCAUCAGCAUCAAUAUAUGAGGCGGAAACUGAAGAACUUCAACAUAUGCCAUUGAAGCCAUUGAUGAAAAACAAAAAAUGUUUAUCGAAGCAAUUAUCCAUGUGCGAGACAUCCCGAGGAAUGGAUUGGGAGCGAAGGAACCGGCAGGUUGUCCGUCAAGAAAGAGGGAAAAACACGGAAGAAGGGCCACGGCUGACGGCGGUGCCAUCGUUGAUGAGAAACAGGAGAUACUUAUCCAAGCAAUUAUCAAUGUUGGAGACAUCGAGGGACAUAGCGUGGGAGAGAAGGCGACGCCAGAUUCUUCGUCAGGAAAGAGGGAAGAAUGGGAUUGCGGAGAGUAAUGGGAAUGGAUUGACGGACGAAGACUUGCAUGAACUCAAAGGUUGCAUUGAGCUUGGGUUUGGAUUCAAUGAGGAAGAGGGGCAACAGCUUUGCAAUACAUUGCCUGCUUUGGACCUUUAUUUUGCUGUAAACCGUCAGCUUUCUCCUAGUCCAGUUUCCACGCCUCAUAGCCGACGUUCUUCUUCCCUAUCAUCUCUAGGUGGCAGGUCUUCUUCUUUUGGAAGUCCUAAGAGCGAUCAAGAGUGGAAAAUUUGCAGCCCAGGGGAAGAUCCUCAGCAAGUGAAGACAAAGCUAAGGCAUUGGGCACAAGCAGUGGCAUGUUCCGUGAUGCAGUCAUAUUGAAGUAGUGGGGUUGGCUUUGUACAGAUCUAGAGUCAGACAACAAAAAAAGGAGCAAAACGAAGAGAAAGCCAGGGAACAGAGAAAGAGAUAUUGACUUCAUUAUUUUUAGGUUAUUUCUUUGAUUUAACCAUAAAAAAGAACAAUUUUAACAAAGUGGACAAACAAAGUGUCAUCAAGGGAAAAUGGUGCUGCAUUUUGGGGGCAUUCUUUUAAUGCAAAAUAUCAGAAACAUUUGGACAUGAAGAAAAGUUUGGUUAUAAACAGGAUAUGUGAUGUAUAAGCCAUUCCCAAGUAUUAAUCUGCUAAUAGUCCUAUAUAUCACUUUAUUGCGAAACGAGGACAUCAACAAUGGGUCUGAGUCAAUGAUUGGAAAGCUGAUUUUCGCAGAAAGUCGGAUCAAGAACCAGGGCCAUGGUGUUCACCCGAAUACAUGCUGGUGUCAUUAGCUUAGUUACGUAUGAUCGGGUAUCAUAUGAGCAGAGCUGAAAAAAAUCCAAGGACGAGGGUUGCAAAUGCAAAGAUUUGAAUCCUAGACUUAAACCUCAGCUUUUAGCAUUAUGUUAUAACAUCAUGCACACUCCAACACAAAGCAUAUUUCCAGAUAAUUUCAUUCCACAAAGUUUCAAGCGGAAGGUACUAAAGCAACAAUUUCAAAAAGUGACAAACGGCAACAAUUCAUAACACCAUUUCAUUCAUUGAUCUGUCUAUAGGUUCAUGUCAAAGAGGAUAUCCAGGAAGUUUAGGGUGACAAACCCUAAAAUCGAAAAAGAAAGAUGACCAAAGCUCUGAUAUCAAUCACAAGCAAGUAGUAAUCCAACUUAAAAGGUAAAGAAAAGCAAACCAAGGGGAUUAAUCCUCUUCAAGAUUGAUGGAGUCCUUGAACUUCCCAUACAAAAUCUUCUUCAACUCAGCCAUUUGUGCCAGAACCGAUUCUUUCUCCUCCUCGAGCUUUUCCAAGU